ensembl:snRNA U6 U6 spliceosomal RNA
GUGCUUACUUUGGCAGCAUGUGUACUAAAAUUGGAAUGCUACAAUGGUUAGCAUGUCUCUUUUACAAGGAUGAUAUGCAGAUUUGUGAAGCAAUCCCUUUUUUA